rnacentral:misc_RNA from 1 species
CUUCCAUAUAACAACAAUUGUUGACAAAGAGAAGAGGGACCACUCCUAUUAGGGAAGAAAAUUGAAAUGUGAAUCACAGUACUCACAAAACCUGAAGUAGAAGAACCUCAACACAAAUGUCUAAACAAAGCCCCUCCAUGAAAAGGAUAAUUCAUUGCUCGGUUAGACCCAAAAGCCUGAACCAUGAAACCUCGACAUAAACUGGACAAAGAAAGCCUCUCGAUCAAAAGAGUUACUGCUCUGUAAGACCCAAUGG